rnacentral:rRNA from 1 species
CUUUGACGGUACCUAACGAGGAAGCCCCGGCUAACUACGUGCCGGCAGCCGCGGUAAUACGUAGGGGGCAAGCGUUGUCCGGAUUUAUUGGGCGUAGAGCGCGCGCAGGCGGUCUAUUAAGUCUGAUGUGAAAGCCCACGGCUCAACCGUGGAGGGCCAUUGGAAACUGGUAGGCUUGAGUGCAGGAGAGGAGAGCGGAAUUCCCGGUGUAGCGGUGAAAUGCGUACAUAUCGGGAGGAACACCCGUGGCGAAGGCGGCUCUCUGGCCUGUAACUGACGCUGAAGCGCGAAAGCGUGGGAAGCAAACAGGAUUACAUACCCUG